GUAGCGAUAGCGAAGUGCAGAACAGAGGAGGCGAGGCGAAUAGUAAAUUUUUAUUUCUUUAAGAAAAUCAUAUGCAGAAGAAGAACACUACAAACUCAAAGGUAUUUUUCGGGGUUUCUUUUACUUCUUUUCUUAAUAUUGUUUUUAUAUAAAUAAAGAUGCAGAAGAUAGUGAAUUUAUUGGUAUUUUCUGGGCUCUUUUGUUUGUCUUUAGUAAAAUGGGAAGAACUGAAGAACUCUUUGAGGAGCUUAUGAAUGUUGAAGUAGAGCUUCAAGACGUCCAAGGUAAGCUUAGUAUGCUGUUUUUUCAUAUUUUUUCCCUCUUUACCUCAUUAUAUUCGUUCAUCAAUAUGUCACUGUCUAACCAAAUUAAUCUAGAAAUGAACAAUUGCAAAAAGGAAUUGGGACAAUUUUCUGUUAUAUUGAAAUAAAGCAGAAUUGAACUACAAGCUAAAGAAAAGAGAACUGGAAAACUAAAUGAAAUAGUAAAUCUCCAUGACUGAAAUCUAGACCUGCAGAAGAGAGAAGGGACUGGGUUAGAGAAGAAGGAGAAAGGAAAUCGGCAAGUUUCUAGUUUCCAAAUAAGUGGUUUAGAGUCCGGUAGGUCAAUUAUGUGCAACGGGACUAAUUCCACGGGUGCCAACUAACUCCUGCCAACAUAGGUACCGGAUAACUUUGGCCACCAAGGCUUGGGCGGAUGGAAGAAAUCAUCUAGUAGUGACAUAUAGGCUUAUGAUUGUAUUUUGAAAUUUUCUAGUGUAAAUGGAGUAUUUUUAUUAUUGUAGAAAACAUUUGAGACUCUCUUUGCGUCUAAAGUUAAAUCCUUUUAGCAAUUUUGACUACCUCAGAUCUUAGAAUAAGUGUAUACUCUAACACAGUAGACCUAGUCAACAACUACAAAUGAAUAGUUAUUCUUGUUGCUAUAGACACAAUAGUGUAUACUGUAUUGUGUUUAUUAUUGUAGAAAACAUUUGAGACUCUCUUUGCGUCUCACGUUUAAUCCUUUUAGCAAUUUUGACUACCUCAGAUCUUACAAUAAAUGUAUACUCUAUUGUGUCUAUAGUGACAAGAAUAACUAUUCGUUUGUAGUUGUUAACUAGGUCUAAGUCCUGUUCCAAUCGUCUUCCCCAUACUGCAGUCCAGCAUGAUAAAGGAAUGAUCAAUAAAAUAUAUAACACAAUGGAGGGCACGAGUCAAACGACUAACAGAUGCAAGAUUAAAAGGACAGUCAGAGACAUAGAGAAUGGAAUCUAGAGUGACAGAGGGUAGG
rnacentral:lncRNA from 1 species